GGGAUUGCCUUAGUAACUGCGAGUGAAGCGGCAAAAGCUCAAAUUUGAAAUCUGGCGCCUUCGGCGUCCGAGUUGUAAUUUGGAGGGACAUCUUCGGGGCUGGCGCCGUCCUAAGUUCCUUGGAACAGGACGUCACAGAGGGUGAGAAUCCCGUGCCUGGGCGGAUGCCCAGCUCCAUGUGAAGUGUCUCCGACGAGUCGAGUUGUUUGGGAAUGCAGCUCAAAAUGGGUGGUAAAUUUCAUCUAAAGCUAAAUAUUGGCGAGAGACCGAUAGCGCACAAGUAGAGUGAUCGAAAGAUGAAAAGCACUUUGAAAAGAGAGUUAAAAAGUACGUGAAAUUGUUGAAAGGGAAGCGCUUGCGACCAGACUCGACCUUUGGCGAUCAGCCGGGCUUCGGCUCGGUGCCAUCGCCAUUGGUUGGGCCAGCAUCGGUUCUGACGGUGGGAUAAAAGGCGAAGGAAUGUGGCCUCCUUCGGGGGGUGUUAUAGCCUUCGUCACAAUGCCGCCAGUCGGGACCGAGGACCGCGCUUCGGCUAGGAUGCUGGCGUAAUGGUCUUAAGCGACCCGUCUUGAAACACGGACCAAGGAGUCUAACAUCUAUGCGAGUGUUCGGGUGGAAAACCCUUGCGCGUAAUGAAAGUGAACGGAGGUGGGAACCCCUCGGGGUGCACCAUCGACCGGUCCUGACGUCUUCUGAAGGAUCUGAGUAAGAGCAUAGCUGUUGGGACCCGAAAGAUGGUGAACUAUGCCUGAAUAGGGUGAAGCCAGAGGAAACUCUGGUGGAGGCUCGCAGCGGUUCUGACGUGCAAAUCGAUCGUCAAAUUUGGGUAUAGGGGCGAAAGACUAAUCGAACCAUCUAGUAGCUGGUUCCUGC
rnacentral:rRNA from 1 species